CCCAGGGGCGACCAGGAGAUCCCCUCAAACCCUAGUUCAUGUUAUUUUCCUCAAGUUGAUGGCUCAAAUCAAGUCCAAAUCGAAAUCUGAAUGUAGAUUAGCGAUCACCUCGUCGAAGGGAUCAUAAGGUAAAGAAUCCGGAUCGUCAAGUGGACAAGCCGGAGGUGAUACACGGUUGAAGAGUGUGCUCUAAAGGUGAAGAUGGACCUAAUCCGGAUGGUGAUCAAGCAAUUAACAAGAACCGAACGCACCAAAUGAAGCUUCCGCAUUUUGUUUAUUUUGUUUUAGAAAUAUGUGAACACUUGAAACUAUGUUUUUAAAGUUAACUAGUAGCAUGAUGAC